GACAUGUACCAAGAAAUAUCUUCAGGUGUGGAGAUAAGGGACGGUUUAUCUAUUCGCUCUUUUCCUUUCAUUCUUUGGAAUGGAAUGACUCUUCUAAAGAACAUGCUGUAGGAAGUCUGAAUAUAUCCAACCUCUUGCCUCAAUCAGAAACGAAACUUACAAUGUGAAAGACGAUGACCACCCUUUAUAAAACGUCCUCAGCCCUUGUCCAGCCUUGCAUGGCAUGAGAUUGGAGAAGACGUUCAAGCAGUGUCACUCCUUCGAACAAAGAGUGGAGGUCCCACUUAUCUGACAGCAGCAUCCUACCAAAAUCCCAGUGACAAAAGAAUGACACAGGGGUGAAAAGCAGCUUCCUGUCCGGGAAAAACCAAGUAAUUUUGUACCUGAUCAGGUCAACAUGAGUAAACUCGUCAAGAUAAUUAGAAGGCCCUUAAAGCUCGAUAGUAAUCAAGCCCUCUUCCUAGUGGUGACCAGAGACAGCUUGGUGAGUAUUUCCAUGCUGAUUUAUGAAGUGUAUGAAAGUGAGAAGGAUGAAGACGAAUUCCUGUAUGUGAUAGUAUAUACCUCUAGGGAGACAUUUGGAGUGAAGCUGUCAGUAUAAGACUAGAA